rnacentral:rRNA from 1 species
ACUUUAUUUAAUAAACUUUGGAUUAGUAUUUAUAAAGAAAUUUAACGGAUUUGGCGGCAAGAUAGCUUUUUAGAGGAACCUGCCCUGUAAACGAUGAACCACGAAUACCUUACUCGUUCUAGUAGUCAGUUUGUAUACCGCUGUUGUCAGUCAGAUCUAAAAAGAUAUUUUCUUUGUGAAAAAGUCAGUGACUUCAAGUAAAGGUGCAGCUUAUGGAGGAGAAAGAGGUGGGUUACAAUAAAUUGAAUUACACGGAAAAGGCUUAGAAUAAGCCUUUUAAAGGUGGAUUUAACUGUAAGAUUUAAA